rnacentral:rRNA from 1 species
GAUGAACGCUGGCGGCGUGCUUAACACAUGCAAGUCGAACGAUGAAGCCCAGCUUGCUGGGCGGAGUAGUGGCGAACGGGUGAGUAACACGUGAGUAACCAGCCCUUGACUCUGGGAGAAGCCCGGGAAACUGGGUGUAGUACCGGAUAGGAGCGCCUGUCGCAUGACGGGUGCUGGAAAGAUCGUUCGGUUUUGGAUGGACUCUCGGCCGAUCAGCUUGUUGGUGAGGUAACGGUUCACCAAGGGGACGACGGGUAGCCGGCCUGAGAGGGUGACCGGCCACCCUGGGCCUGCGAGACGGACCAGACCCCUACGGGAGGCAGCAGUCGGGAAUCUUGCACAAUGGGCCAAAGCCUGAUGCAGCGACGCCGCGUGAGGGAUGACGGCCUUCGGGUUGUAAACAUCUUUCAGCAGGGAAGAAGCGAACGUGACGGUACCUGAAGAAGAAGCCCCGGCUAACUACGUG